CUGUGACCCCACUGAAGGAGACCCAGGAGAUCCAGCCCACAGGAGACAGUCCUUCCUGCCCACCAGCUCCUCUGUGCCUCUCAGAGCUUACAGUCAAAUUGGGAAGAUUAGAUGCACACCCAUAAGAAAUCACACACACAGGAAGCAUAUGAUGGGUGUUGAAACAGUAAAAUAAACUCUUCAUCAAAAAAUCGGAACUACAAACCACC